UUAAAUGUUUCUAUCAACUCGCGUAGACCCCAUUCAGUUAAUUUAUCACGAACAAAAUCAUCCAUGACCACCAACGGAAACUGCAACGAGAAGGUCAAAGAUGUGGAUCAAUGCCGCUCCUCCAGCGGGCGUAAAACUCCUUUUGCUCUGCAAAAUGCUGCGACUCCACCCAAGAAACGAAACCUAAGGGAUUCUUGUUUGUGAAACUCCUCCCACGAUGCAUUUCCCGUUUGAGUGAUUAAUUUAUUUUCAACAACCGACUCCCUAAAAGGGAACGACGGUUAGAUAAAGUGGCCUUAUGUUAUUAUUAUUCCGUAUGUCUGACAUGUCAUGGCAAUAAAUGUUUCCUGAUUUCUGA